AUGUGUUCUUUGCAGAGGGGGAUUGGGGGUGGGUAUGCGCACAGGAAAACUAGAGAGUUGAGAAACUUUACAAAGAAGCUCAAGGCCUUCCUGCAAAGCAGUACCCAUAUCUGCCAAUGAAUUACUGACUUCUCUCAAGGGGUCUCCAUAUUGACUAUUGUGAGUUUCAGAAACCCUCCAAAGAGGAAUGUAACUCCUUUUAUAAGACUGCUUUUGAAAAAAAAAAAAUUUUAAGACACAUACACUCAAAAGAAGUAAAGACUUCUUGGAGUUCCCAUUGUGGCUCAGUGGUAACGAACCCGACUAGUAUCCAUGAGGACAAAGGUUCAAUUCCAGGGCUUGUUUAGUGAGUUAAGGAUCCAGCAUUGCCAUGAGCAGUGGUAUAGGUCACAUAUGCAGCUCUGAUCCCGAGUUGCUGUGGCUGCAGUGUAGGUUGGCAGCUACAGCUCCAAUUCAACCUUUACCUAGGCUGGGACCUUCUAUAAGCCUGCCUAGAGUGUGACCCUAAAAAGACAAAGAAUAAAAAGACUUCUUGGAGUUUCAGUUGUGGCGCAGUGGUUAACAAAUCCGACUAGGAACCAUGAGGUUGCAGGUUCAGUCCCUGGCCUUGCUCGGUGGGUUAAGGAUCCAGCGUUGCCGUGAGCUGUGGUGUAGGUUGCAGAUUCGGCUCGAAUCCCAUGUUGCUGUGGCUGUGGCGUAGGCCUGCUGCUACAUCUCUGAUUCAACACCUAGCCUGGGAACCUCCAUAUGCCACGGGAGCGGCCCUCCAAAGACAAAAAAAAAAAANUUCUUAUUUGUAAUAGUGAAAUGGAAGGACAGUCUUAAAACUCAACGCACAGUGUCCAGAACAACAAUGAACUGUUGGAAUCUGGCUAUUGAAGGACGUGCAUAUUUCCAGCACUCAUCAAUAGACUCUAAUUUUUUUUGGUUUUUUAUGGCCUCACCCUUGGUAUUUGGAAGGUCCCAGGCCAGGGAUUGAAUCUGAGCCAUAGCUUCAACCUAUGCCACAAAGAUGAAGCCUUUAACCCACUGUACCUGGUGGGGGAUUGAACUCACCCCUCCAAAGUGACUCACUCGUGCUGCUGCAGUCAGGUUCUUAACCUACUGUACCACAGUGGGGGAACUCUAUUAAUGACUGAUCCAAGUAUUUAAAAAAUUGAAUAUAAAAUGUAUCUGCCAUUGAAAGUUAAUAUGUAUCAAUUAAAUAUGUAUCAAUUAAAUACACACACCAAAUGGCUGGGUAGGAUAGCUGCGAUGAGAGACUAACUUUUUUCUUCAGUUAUCCAAAGGAAAAUCUUGCAAUUAUGUUUGAUUUUUUUAAAUUAUUCAUGAUAUGAUUUCCAGGACACAGAGGCAGGAGACCAAAAAAAAAAACUUUUUAAAUAACUAAUUUUUAAAAUUCUAUUUGACAAAUGAACGAUGUAUGGGUGCUAUCGACAUAUAUUUACCUGCUAUUAUCUUUUUUUUUUUUUUUUAGCUUUCUAGUUUUUUUUUUUUUUAAACUUGUCUACAUGGAUUACCUAAAAGUAAUAGAGAUGAUCACAUGUGGAUAGCAAACCAUAGACUACAUUAAUUUUUAGCCAAGUGUACCCAAAUAGGCUAAAUAGGUGAAGGUUAGAAAUACAGUUCCCACUUUAAAAUUGGAGUAUAAAUAAAGAUGGAAAAACCUAGGAGCACACCAAUACAGUAGGUGGAAAAUAGCACAGUGCAAAGGAUGACUAGUGGAAAACUGUGAUUUGUACAAAAGGGAAAAGAAAAAGAUACAACUGAUAGCCAGCUUUAGCCUUUCAAUUGACUGUUGGCCUGUGUUCCACCUACCACUUUCUCAAUGCAUCCUUUUAUUAUUUUUUUAGGAAAGGAUAUUCAUGACUACAACAAUGUUAUAAUGAUAGUAAGUGUAGAAUUCAAGAGAUGUUUUUUAAAAGCACCUUUCACCAACGUUAAAAAGUCACCAAGGGUGGGGGUGGGUUGUAGUUACCUAGCUCUAGGUUUUAUUUAGUGACGGUUCCACUUUUUCACUCACUGCCUGCAAAUCAGCAUUUUUAGUGGACAAAGGGCUCAGCGGCGGCCUUAUGAUUGCUUCUUUUCAAAUGGUAAUGGCUAUCCUAACUCCUCUGCCAGGUUUUUCUUACCAGAGCACAAAUUGCAGUUUACAAGGCUCUGAGGGAAAAAAAAAAUCUUAGCUGAAUAUCUUUUUUUUAUUCGACAAACUGACA
rnacentral:lncRNA from 1 species